GCUCANAUUUGAAAUCUGGCGUCCUCAGGGCGUCCGAGUUGUAAUCUAUAGAGGCGUUUUCCGUGCCGGACCGUGUCCAAGUUCCUUGGAACAGGAUAUCAAAGAGGGUGACAAUCCCGUACUUGACACGAUGACCGGUGCUCUGUGAUACGUCUUCUACGAGUCGAGUUGUUUGGGAAUGCAGCUCAAAAUGGGUGGUGAGUUCCAUCUAAAGCUAAAUAUUGGCGAGAGACCGAUAGCGAACAAGUACCGUGAGGGAAAGAUGAAAAGCACUUUGGAAAGAGAGUUAAACAGUACGUGAAAUUGUUGAAAGGGAAACGAUUGAAGUCAGUCGUGACUGAGAGGCUCAGCCGGUUCUGCCGGUGUAUUCCCCUCAGUCGGGUCAACAUCAGUUUUGUCCGGUGGAAAAGGGCGGUAGGAACGUGGCACCUCCGGGUGUGUUAUAGCCUGCCGUCGCAUACAUCGGGUGAGACUGAGGAAUGCAGCUCGCCUUUAUGGCCGGGGUUCGCCCACGUCCGAGCUUAGGAUGUUGACAUAAUGGCUUUAAACGACCCGUCUUG
rnacentral:rRNA from 1 species